rnacentral:rRNA from 1 species
UGGGGAAUUUUGGACAAUGGGCGAAAGCCUGAUCCAGCAAUGCCGCGUGUGUGAAGAAGGCCUUCGGGUUGUAAAGCACUUUUGUCCGGAAAGAAAUCCUUGGCUCUAAUACAGUCGGGGGAUGACGGUACCGGAAGAAUAAGCACCGGCUAACUACGUGCCAGCAGCCGCGGUAAUACGUAGGGUGCAAGCGUUAAUCGGAAUUACUGGGCGUAAAGCGUGCGCAGGCGGUUUGCUAAGACCGAUGUGAAAUCCCCGGGCUCAACCUGGGAACUGCAUUGGUGACUGGCAGGCUAGAGUAUGGCAGAGGGGGGUAGAAUUCCACGUGUAGCAGUGAAAUGCGUAGAGAUGUGGAGGAAUACCGAUGGCGAAGGCAGCCCCCUGGGCCAAUACUGACGCUCAUGCACGAAAGCGUGGGGGAGCAAACAGGAUUAGAUACCCUGGGUAGUCCACGCCCUAAACGAUGUCAACUAGUUGUUGGGGAUUCAUUUCCUUAGUAACGUAGCUAACGCGUGAAGUUGACCGCCUGGGGGAGUACGGUCGCAAGAUUAAAACUCAAAUGAAUUGACGGGGUCAUAGCUGUUUCC